CAAUAGCGUAUAUUAAUGUUGUUGCAGUUAAAAAGCUCGUAGUUGGAUUUCUGAUGAGAGCCCUGGUCACUUUAACGAGUGUACUGAUGUGGCGUCUUGUCGUUUCAUGGGGAUGCUUGCUGGUAUUAAGUUAUCGGCUUGUGGAUCCAUGUCGUUUACUGUGAAAAAAUUAGAGUGUUCAAAGCGGGCCAUCGCUGUGAAUACAUUAGCAUGGAAUAAUAAGAUAGGACUGUGGUGCUAUUUUGUUGGUUUGCGUACUACGGUAAUGAUUAAUAGGGAUAGUUGGGGGUAUUCAUAUUCAAUUGUCAGAGGUGAAAUUCUUGGAUUUAUGGAAGAUGAACUACUGCGAAAGCAUUUACCAAGGAUGUUCUCAUUAA
rnacentral:rRNA from 1 species